rnacentral:lncRNA from 10 species
GUUUUAAGAAAGUUUACGAAUUUGUGUUGGGCCGCAUUCAAAGCCAUCCUGGGCUGCAUGCGGCCUGUGGGCUUUGGGUUGGACAAGCUUGCAUGUGACUGAGUUUGUUCUUAAACUGGUAAGGAAACUUUGUCAGGCAGUAUUUAUUUCCAUAAGUGGUGUUUUCCUACGAAUCAGCACAUGGUGAAAAAUGAGGGGCUAUGUAUAUUUAAGGUGCAGAAUUAAAUUGGUUUAAAUAUCUUUUCUAUUUUGAGCUUUGAUUUUGAUACCUUAAAGGAAAUAUCAACAGUACUAUUUCCAACCUGAAGCCUCCUCAGCUGUUCUGUCCUAGACUUAUGGCGUCCUCUAGUGGCCACUAUGGGCAGCUAUGAUCCUGUUACCUUCCCCAGCAGUUCCCUUCCUGCCCUGUUCCCCACUGCUCUGGCUUGGGUCAAGCCAGGCCUGCCUCCCGCCAACAUAUUCUUCAGAAUUUUACCUCAUGUAAU